UAACGAUUCUUAAGAAAAAGGGAAAAGGCAUUUUGAAUGCUCUAAAAUCAUUUAAUUGACUCAAUCUAGCUUGGCCAAAUCAAAAAUCAGAAUAAAAUAAAAUAAUUUCCACAAAGGAAUAAAUAAUGAUGUAAAAUAAAAUACUAAAAUGUACAUACAGGAACUGGUUAAGAAAAAUACUCACUCUUCAAGUAAUUCAAAGUUCAGUUGUCUCCUUGAAAUGUCAAACACAGAUAAUCCAAACAGUGUGUAAUACUAUACUCAAUCACAUUCAAAGUUACAAAAGUUGAAAACUUGGUGAGUUUAAAAUGUAAAAUCAUCCAUCCAUCCAUUUUCUUAGUGGCUUAUCCUCACAAGGGUCACAGGGUGUGCUGGAGCCUAUCCCAGCUGUCAACGGGCAGGAGGCGGGGUACACACUGAACUGUUUGCCAGCUAAUCGCAUUCAAAUGGAAAAAGAACUAUUGGAUAAAUCAUAUCAAACAUUUCUAAAGGCUUAAAAUUGACUCGAAUAGGUAAAGAACCCAGGAAAGAUCAAAGGCUCAAGUUCCUGAGUUAGUUAACUCCACUCUCAGUUAGUUUUCUAAGUCAAUGUUGCCUUUCUACUUAUCCUGCGUAUUACGCAAAUAGAAAAAGGAAAAGAGCAACACAGACCACUGUAAUCAAUGUGAUCUGCGAAACAAGAACCACAAUUUUCACCAGUUUUUGCUAUGUUACAUUAUACGUUGUUACAUAAAUUUGUGAGUUCUUUUCAAUAUUUUGCCCUCCGUGGGCAGAGUUUCUCUUCCACAUCAAUACACUCUAAGGGUUAGAGUCUAAACAGUCAUUAGUCAUCACUAUUCUUUCAAACAUCUGUUCCUACUUCCCUUUCCGGAGAGGACAUGUUUUUCCUAACAAAGUUUCCAACAUUUCUCAACUUUAUUCAAAUAUAAUGGCAAACAUGAUUUUCAUAACAUUGUUCUUCUAUGAUACUCUUCAAUCAAUAAUUUGAUUCAUCUUUUGUUUUUUUCCCACACAAACUAUUAUAUGACUCAACUCACAGAACAUUGAUAUGAGCAUAUUGAUUGUGGGUUCUUAUACUUGAACAGAAAAUCAAGUCUUGUGACUAACUAUGUUAGCAAAUAAGCAUUAUAGCAAGCAUUAACUAUAAGACUGUAUGACAGCCAAAUGAGUGACAUCUAUGUUUCCAUCUUGUGGUUGAAUUUGUGUAUUACACUUCUCGACUUUUAGAUGGGUCUAUUUACUUUAGGCAAUAACUAAGUUUUGACUUUAACACAAUUAUCAAUUUCUAAGCAUAUAAUUUUCUGAACAUGUAUCCAAUUAACUAUUAAGUAAUUUUUCUCAUGUCAUCAACCUUUAUACCAUGUCACCAGUCGGUCCAGGUGAGGCAGUUGUUAUCACUUUCAUGGUAGAGGUUUAACAUACAUUUGCAGAAGUGGUGACAAUCUGUGUUCAUUAUCAAGGUUUUUUUUUAUUUUUUUAAAAGGUGUUUAUAUGACCACGUGGCAAUAUACUUCACACUCUCUUUGCGAUCAGGUCAAGAGUGACAUAAAAGUGCAGGUGCAAGAAGAUCCAAACUACAACGCCCAGAGAUUCCCCAACACACAUCGAGCUUUCUCCUUAGAAGAUUCUUAAUUUGCAUCAGGUGAACGCAGCAGCAUGAGAUCCUAGUUCAAUUAUUACUUAAUAGGUCCUGCACCCAAUUGGCUUGCCUUAGACAGGGACAAUUGUGACCACCUGUGCUUUAAAAACGCUAGUUCUGUGUCUGUGCUUAAAACUUUGUUGCCCUCUUCACUGAAUGGACAACACGAAGGAAAUCAGCAAAGGAAAAAACCCUUUCAAAAUAAUUCGAUGUUUAUACGAGUGGCUGUGGCUGUGAGCCCGUAUAAAUGAAUGGUCACCUCAUAUUAUUACAUAUACACGAGAAAAUUCUGGAUAAUUACUUCUGAAAUUUGUUGCAGCCCCACUACCCUAGUGAAGAUAAAUGGUACAGAAAAUGGAUGGAAGGAUAUUAGUCACAUUAUUUUGAAAGGGGGAUUGGUAACCAAAAAAAAAAAAGCUUGCUAUUUCUUAAUGUUAUUAAAGUGGAAAUACGUUGCAAUUUUAGUAUUUUAGCAAGCAACAUGAUGUCAACGCACAAUUUGAUUUACCUGGCCACAUAAAAUAAUUUGACAGGACGUAGCUGGACCCAGGGCUGAAACUGUGUCACAGCAUUUAAAGCUGUUUUUUUGUGGACAUGAUACAUAUGCUGAACUUGCUUCGGUAAUGCUUGACUAAUAUUUUGGAUUUUGUAAAGAAUUUGGCAAAGUCAUUGCAGGCCUUGGUGGAAUGAAGUUCAAUUGCUGACACAGAUAUCAUAAUGAAGCUGGAGAUUUGUUUUCCUCAAUUUGCGUUCAGCCUCCCGACUCUCUUCGUCCAUUUUUGUCGCCUUGGAGACUUCUUCCUUCCAGGGAUAACCUUCACCUUAAUAUGAGCAAUAGUGUCCAGAAUAUUUAACAUCUUAGCAUUGAAGCUAGUGAAGAGCUCAUUGACUGCACCCCAGGACAAGCCAGGUGUUAAAGGGAAAACCUGAUCUUACUGGUAUUUUCAGUUAAACAUUUUGUGGUCAAUGCUGUUAAAAUACAUUUGUGUGCACUGAAAUAGUCCGCACAGAAAUAAUCAGAAAGGCCCACAUCCGACACAGUAAUGUUUAAAAUGUUCAGACCCUGAAAGAUCAAUAAGUCUAAUGUGUGUGCCCCCUAAUGUGCGUGGCCAGUGUUACUGCUUUGUUAUGCUAACUCGGACCAAAGUUGUCCGGAAUGUUCCUCAGGUCUUUAGUUCAUUUGUCAGGAGGGUUGGCCACAUGGAUUUUAAAAUCAGACAAUAAACACAGUUUAAAAAAAAAAAAAAAAAAUCAAUGCAAAUCACAGACAGAAUUUGGGUCAUCACAAAAGUCUGUACAUUACUAAGGGGGUUUGUAAACAUUAAGAAACAAGACUCUGGAUGUGGUCUUCAAAAAUUUCCAAGAAAUAACUGACAAAGUAUUUCUAAAGGGCAAACUAUGGUUCAGCUUAUGGUCUACAAUGGAUGCCAGUAGUUCCUUCCAGGCCUGUCACGUUCUGAUGGGGUCCCUUGCGUGUCAAUCAUGGUCUGACACGUUUGUCAUAUUCACUCAAGACUUUCUACAGCUGAAAUGCGGAUGCUGCUGUUUGUGGCCACACAACACAAUAAAGCUAUCAUACACCCUAGCUCUCUGAGAAUCAUGACAAAAUGUGGCAAACCAGGACAAAAAGCCUAGCAGAUAGCAGAACGUGAUGAAAGGAUGCUAAAACCUGUACAUGGAAAUACAUACUGUGAGGCUCCUUUUUUUGAACAAGGUGUCCAAGAAGCGUUAAUAGAUUUGUUCCGAAGCUAUUGUCACCACUUUAAAUUGGUCAAUAAUUUCUAAAAUGACUUGACAAUGUGGGAAUAGAUCAAUUGUUUUGAGAGAAAAAAAAAAGGGCAAAAUCUGGACAUAUAAAGUCUCUGAUCAUCAUUCAGAUGACUUGCUCACCCAUCUGUAUUUUAAUUUCAUUUAGUGUGGCUGAAUCGUGUUCGUUUGGAAAACUGGAUGGUUGGCAAAGAAGAACUAUUUAUUCAUUCCUUUAUUUCUCUACCUGUCGUACAUCAACCAAAGUUGUCUUUUUUUUUCUUCAAUAAUGUGGCAAUAUUUUUUUCCUCUUAAAAUUCCCAAUUCAUUUAGAAAGUUGAAAUGACGUGCAAAUAUAAUGUACAGCAUACAGACGUUCUGAGUCUUAUUUGAACUUGGGUUCUUGAACUGGCCAUCUAUUAAAGUGCCAGCUGCAUUCUCACAGUAUUUGGAUUUAAGCAGUGACUAUACAUUUUUACCUGGGUGCCAAAGCUAUUUAAGUAAUGUUAAUUUUCAUUGUACAUGUGUCAACAACUAAUGAAAGACUUAAAUGUUCUUUUGGUGGUCAUUAUUGGAAGCUUUAUUUGAAUAUUAUCUACAACACAUCUGGGUGGAUGAAAGUCUGAAGUGAGUAUUCUUGGCUUGGGAAUCAUGCAGAAAGCAGUCAGGGGGGAAAAAACCCCACACAAAAACAGAUUUAGUGCUGCACUCUUGUAGAUACACAUUUUAAACAUAAUAUAAAUCCACAUUUAACCACAAACACCUUUGAGUGCACAAGACUAAAUCGUAUCGCUAAGUUUGUUUGAAAUGGUUCCGCCUGAAGUAUGUAAAGCGAUUUUUAUGAAGUUUUCUUCACACAUGUAUUGCACAUGUACAGCUUCAAACAUUACAUUGACAAUAAGCCUGGGGUACUGAAUGGAGUAUGUUAGACAAUUUCAAGAAACAGUUUGGGUUUGCUCUUAAGAAAAUGAGUUUAAUUAAAGAUCCUUCCAGUGCAUCCUGUAUAAUGAAUUAAUUUAGGAGAGAAAUCUGUUUUUUUUUCUUUUUGAACAAAUAUGUUCACAACACUGAGUAAAUGUAUUCAGUGAGUUGACCCAAAAAUAUGAUGCCACCAUGAUUACGAGGUCAGACAAGAAGCUGUGUGUAAAUGUGCAUUUUUUUCAGGAGCAAAAAUCCGAGUGUUGGUGCAUAUUUUGUCA